rnacentral:rRNA from 1 species
GGGUUGUGAGGUUAAGCGACUAAGCGUACACGGUGGAUGCCCUGGCAGUCAGAGGCGAUGAAGGGCGUGCUAAUCUGCGAUAAGCGCCGGUAAGGUGAUAUGAACCGUUAUAACCGGCGAUACCCGAAUGGGGAAACCCAGUGUGAUUCGUCACACUAUCAUUAACUGAAUCCAUAGGUUAAUGAGGCGAACCGGGGGAACUGAAACAUCUAAGUACCCCGAGGAAAAGAAAUCAACCGAGAUUCCCCCAGUAGCGGCGAGCGAACGGGGAGGAGCCCAGAGCCUGAAUCAGCAUGUGUGUUAGUGGAAGCGUCUGGAAAGGCGCGCGAUACAGGGUGACAGCCCCGUACACAAAAGCGCAUGUGCUGUGAGCUCGAUGAGUAGGGCGGGACACGUGGUAUCCUGUCUGAAUAUGGGGGGACCAUCCUCCAAGGCUAAAUACUCCUGACUGACCGAUAGUGAACCAGUACCGUGAGGGAAAGGCGAAAAGAACCCCGGCGAGGGGAGUGAAAAAGAACCUGAAACCGUGUACGUACAAGCAGUGGGAGCACCCUUCGGGGUGUGACUGCGUACCUUUUGUAUAAUGGGUC